UACGAAGGGGGCUAGCGUUGCUCGGAAUCACUGGGCGUAAAGGGUGCGUAGGCGGUCCUUUAAGUCAGGGGUGAAAUCCUGGAGCUCAACUCCAGAAUUGCCUUUGAUACUGAGGAUCUUGAGUUCGGGAGAGGUGAGUGGAACUGCGAGUGUAGAGGUGAAAUUCGUAGAUAUUCGCAAGAACACCAGUGGCGAAGGCGGCUCACUGGCCCGAUACUGACGCUGAGGCACGAAAGCGUGGGGAGCAAACAGG
rnacentral:rRNA from 1 species